AAGCAACCAGAAAAAAGUCUGGUAACCCAACCUGGUCUGCAGCUGCUUCCCUCAGCCCUUCAGCAUCCUUUACUGGGUGCCCUUGUACUGCCAGACCGUGAGAGUGAGUCAUUAAAGGAUGCACCCAGCAACUCUUUGACCUCACCCAGCACUAGAACCUGCUUCCAAAGGAGGAUUCCAAAGGGAUCCACUAUUGGCUGCCUGGAGGGACCCAUAUCUACCAUGUAGUCACCAGGAGGCUGAUGGGCAGGGGCAGGAGGGUCCCCUCCCAUUCCCAUGGCUCAAGGAAGGCCUGAUCCAGAGUAGAGCUACGGAAUUUUUUGAAAGAAGGCUUCACAGGACACCUGUGAGCAUCCAGAGAGUCCUAGAGUAAAACCAGCUCUCCUAAAGUAUCCCUGGAACACACUGGCCAGUGAGUCAAUCUUAUUUCUGGCAUUUGCUCUUGCUCAGUGAGUCGCUGCUUUCAAGGAAUAGAGGUGUAGGAAAAUAAAGCUUGGGCCACACCAUGGCUCACUGUUCCCGAAGUUAGAUGCUCUUCAUCAUCACUGUGUGGCUUUCACAGAUGGCAAACCCUCCCGCAGUGGCAUGAGCCACAGCACGCUAACUCUGCCACUGGCAUGCCUAACUGGAUGACAGGGGCAUGGAGGCUACCAGGCUACCAGAUCUGUCUCCCUAAGGAAAUAUCUAUCAUCUGGAUCAUUUUUUAGAUAAGAGGAACAUGUAUGCUUCUGAGGUUUGAAAGCACAGGCUGCCACAGCCAAACGCGGGCUCCUUGCCUCUUCCCAUCAGAUGGACAACUGGGAUGGCCUGAGAAUGUGACACGGGCAGGAUCCUAAAAGAUGUGCCAAAUGAGGGUUUGCUGCCCAGAGUCUACUCUGAAAGAGUGUUUCUGUCUUUAUCCUUGUGUGGGAAAUGCAGACAUUGGCAAUGCAAUGACCACAUCAAUAAUUCUCCUGAUGACCUGUGCAAACCCAAGAGGGUCACGACAUCACGCAUUGCCUUUCUGUAAACCAGUGCUUCUGGGUUUUGCCCAGCACAGGGCCCUUUACCCACAGAUUCAUUUUCACUACUAAAGCUGAUUUCCAGUGUUAGCUUUUACAUGUAGUAUCUGUGUGUGCUGACUGUGAACGUUCACAGGUUGAAAUCAAGACAUUGCUGGAAUAAAGUCCUACCACCCUCCAUGCA